UCAAUGAAAUAAAUUUCAAAUAAUUUCGAAUAUAUGUCAUGGUGGUGCUACAUACUCUAAACAAUGAAAAUUACUAUUGUCCACUUAAGAGUACGUUUCACUUGAAACUUUGCCGAAUUGGAAUUUUGAAUUUACUUUCUCUUUUCUAUCGCAAAUUUUAUCUCAUUGUUAAUCAUUAAAAUACAUCUUGAUCUCAUUCUACUAAUGUACCGAGAGUGACGAACUUAGUAAUGAUGUAUCAUAUUACCUUAUAAUAUUUAAUUAAGUAUACCCUCAAUGGUUGUGUUAAUCAUCAAAAUAACACUAUCAUUCUCAAUCUCCCCCUUUUUGAUGAUUACAAAAUAUUGAGUAUGAGCAAAUUGAUUCUUAUCUUAAAAUUAGUUUUAGAAGAGCUCAAGUAGCUGAAUUUCAGCUUUUCACAUUUGAGAGU
rnacentral:lncRNA from 1 species